rnacentral:misc_RNA from 1 species
AGCAGCCGCGGUAAUUCCAGCUCCAAUAGCGUAUAUUAAAGUUGUUGCAGUUAAAAAGCUCGUAGUUGAAUUUCGGGGUUCUACCGUUGGUCGGGCUUUGUCUGUACUGGCGUGUAGAAUUUCUACCUUCUGGGGAACCAUCAUGUUAUUAAUUUAACGUGGUGGGAAACCAGGACCUUUACCUUGAAAAAAUUAGAGUGUUCAAAGCAGGCUUAUGUCUGAAUACAUUAGCAUGGAAUAAUAGAAUAGGACGGUGGUCCUGUUUUGUUGGUUUCUGAAUCACCGUAAUGAUUAAUAGGGAUAGUUGGGGGCAUUAGUAUUCAAUUGUCAGAGGUGAAAUUCUUGGAUUUAUUGAAGACUAACUUCUGCGAAAGCACUUGCCAAGGAUGUUUUCAUUAAUCAAGAACGAAAGUUAGGGGAUCGAAGACGAUCAGAUACCGUCGUAGUCUUAACCAUAAACUAUGCCGACUAGGGAUCGGGACGAUGUU